UAUUGCGAAUAUCUGGUGAAAUAAUCACCGUAAAACGUUUUCGCCUCCUCGGACAUCGAUCUUCUCAUCGUCUCGAAGUGUUCAACUUGUCGUGUUAAUAUAUUGCUCUCAUUUACGAACGAACCUAUGCGAAUAUGCGAGAGAAACAGAACAGAGUUUAUCAAAAAAUAUCUAGAGAUAAUUCUUUUUCAUCGAACGAAAUUGCUAGUAAAUUAUUUUUUGAUUACGGACCAGGGAUAAAGCGAACGACCUUAAUGCCAUACUUCUUCAACUCCAUUCUAAUGGCAGUGGCCCAAGCAUUGAGGGCAGCUUUUGUCCCACUGUAAGCUGCUACU